rnacentral:rRNA from 1 species
AUUGAACGCUGGCGGCAGGCCUAACACAUGCAAGUCGAGCGGCAGCGGGAAAGUAGCUUGCUACUUUUGCCGGCGAGCGGCGGACGGGUGAGUAAUGCCUGGGGAUCUGCCCAGUCGAGGGGGAUAACUACUGGAAACGGUAGCUAAUACCGCAUACGCCCUACGGGGGAAAGAAGGGGACCUUCGGGCCUUGCGCGAUUGGAUGAACCCAGGUGGGAUUAGCUAGUUGGUGAGGUAAUGGCUCACCAAGGCGACGAUCCCUAGCUGGUCUGAGAGGAUGAUCAGCCACACUGGAACUGAGACACGGUCCAGACUCCUACGGGAGGCAGCAGUGGGGAAUAUUGCACAAUGGGGGAAACCCUGAUGCAGCCAUGCCGCGUGUGUGAAGAAGGCCUUCGGGUUGUAAAGCACUUUCAGCGAGGAGGAAAGGUUGGUAGCUAAUAACUGCCAGCUGUGACGUUACUCGCAGAAGAAGCACCGGCUAACUCCGUGCCAGCCGCCGCUGUAAUAC